rnacentral:rRNA from 1 species
UACAGAGACUGCAAGCGUUAUUCGGAUUCACUGGGCGUAAAGGGGUGCGCAGGCGGCCAUGUGUGUCAGGUGUGAAAGCCCGGGGCUUAACCCCGGAAUUGCGCCUGAAACUACAUGGCUAGAGCAUUGGAGAGGGUAGCGGAAUUCACGGUGUAGCAGUGAAAUGCGCAGAUAUCGUGAGGAACACCAGAGGCGAAGGCGGCUACCUGGACAAUUGCUGACGCUCAGGCACGAAAGCGUGGGGAGCAAAAGGG